AACGAACGCUGGCGGCAGGCUUAACACAUGCAAGUCGAACGCCCCGCCAGGGGAGUGGCAGACGGGUGAGUAACGCGUGGGAACGUGCCCUUCGCUUCGGAAUAGCCCCGGGAAACUGGGAGUAAUACCGAAUACGCCGUAUUGGGAAAGAUUUAUCGGCGAAGGAUCGGCCCGCGUUGGAGUAGCUAGUUGGAGGUGUAAUGGACCCCCAAGGCUACGAUCCAUAGAGGGUCUGAGAGGAUGAUGAGCCCCACUGGGACUGAGACACGGCCCAGACUCCUACGGGAGGCAGCAGUGGGGAAUCUUGGACAAUGGGCGCAAGCCUGAUCCAGCCAUGCCGCGUGAGUGAAGAAGGCCUUAGGGUUGUAAAACUCUUUCGCCGGAGAAGAUAAUGACGGUAUCCGGAGAAGAAGCCCCGGCUAACUUCGUGCCAGCAGCCGCAGUAACAC
rnacentral:rRNA from 1 species